ensembl:misc_RNA Metazoa_SRP Metazoan signal recognition particle RNA
GCCGGGCGUGGUGGCGGGCGCCUGUAGUCCCAGCUACUCAGGAGGCUGAGGCAGGAGAAUUGCUUGAACCCAGGAGACAGAAGUUGCAGUGAGCCGAGAUUGUGCCACUGUACUCCAGCCUGGGCGACACAGCGAGACUCUGUCUCAA